rnacentral:rRNA from 1 species
AGCGAUGCGUUGAGCUAACGGGUUCUAAUGAACCGUGAGGCUUAACCUUUCAACACCGAAGGUGUUU